AUUAAAUCUAAGGGUAAUUUAUAAAUUAGUCCCUAAAAUAUGUUUAAAAAACAUAGGUCAAUCUGUAUUUUUUUAAAGUUUGAUUUCCUUAACAGAGUAGUUCCUCUGUCCAAAUUCAUCAUUAACUUUGUUUAUAAUUAUAUAUCCUAGUAAGAACUUAAUUAAUAAAUAAAGGACAAAUUAAAAAAAAAAUUGAGUUAAAUUAGAUAAAAUUAAAAAUGGAUUAAAUUGGACAUCCCUAAUAAAUACAGGGAGCAAAUUAAACUUUAUUUCAAUUAUUAUAUCUCCUAAUGAAAACUUA
rnacentral:misc_RNA from 1 species